rnacentral:rRNA from 1 species
GAUGAACGCUGGCGGCGUGCCUAAUACAUGCAAGUCGAGCGAACGGACGAGAAGCUUGCUUCUCUGAUGUUAGCGGCGGACGGGUGAGUAACACGUGGAUAACCUACCUAUAUGACUGGGAUAACUUCGGGAAACCGUAGCUAAUACCGGAUAAUAUUUUGAACCGCAUGGUUCAAAAGUGAAAGACGGUCUUGCUGUCACUUAUAGAUGGAUCCGCGCUGCAUUAGCUAGUUGGUAAGGUAACGGCUUACCAAGGCAACGAUGCAUAGCCGACCUGAGAGGGUGAUAGGCCACACUGGAAGUGAGACACGGACCAGAGUCCUACGGGAGGCAGCAGUAGGCAAUCGUCCGCAGAAGGCGAGAACCUGGCGGAGCGGCGCCGCGUGAGAGAUGAAAGUCUUCGGAUCGUAAAACUCUGUUAUUAGGGAAGAACAUAUGUGUACGUAACUGUGCACAUAUUGACGGUACCUGGUCAAAAAGCCGCGGCUAACUACGUG